rnacentral:lncRNA from 10 species
AUUUAUUCUUCAUAGAAAUGCCAUGAGGUAGAUGCUGUCUUCAUUUUCAUUUUGUACAGGGAAACAAGGUACAGAAAGGUUCAUAACCAAACAACUAGUAAGUAGAAAAGACAAGAUUUGAACAAAGUAGUCUGACUUCCCAGUACAUCCUCUUAAUUUAUCCUUAUUGCCUGAGAAAAAGCUUAUUAGUCCCUUCAGAACAGAAAAAGUGGUCCCUGGCACUAAAUUCUUAAGGAAAUCUAUCAAGUAGGAGGAUACAGAGUGUCCUUAUUGCCAGAUAAAGUCCAGUGUUGUGCUAUAUGUAAUGGAGAGUCACCAGAGGGUUUUUAGCAAGGGAGAGACACAAUUGGAUUUCCAAGGGUCUAAUCUGAUCCAACAACAGAAUUUGUAAUAUCUGAAAAAAAUGAAUAGAUCACACAUUCCUUAGCUAGUCUUUCCUAAAU